CCCUUAGAUGUUCUGGGCCGCACGCGUGCUACACUGAGUGGAUCAGCGGGUCAGGUUGCGCGAAAGCGUUUCCUAAUCUUUAAAUCCGCUCGUGAUGGGGAUUGACGGUUGCAAUUUUCUGUCAUGAACGAGGAAUACCUUGUAAGCGCGGGUCAUCAUCCCGCGCUGAAUACGUCCCUGCCCUUUGUACACACCGCCCGUCGCUCCUACCGAUUGUGUGGUCCGGUGAGGCUUUGGGAUCUGAGCGGAAAGAGCGUUUCGCUGUUUCUGCUCGGAAAACUCAGUCGAACCUUAUCAUUUAGAGGAAGGAGAAGUCGUAACA
rnacentral:rRNA from 1 species